rnacentral:rRNA from 1 species
UACGUAGGGUGCAAGCGUUGUCCGGAAUUAUUGGGCGUAAAGAGCUCGUAGGCGGUUUGUUGCGUCGGCUGUGAAAUCCCGAGGCUCAACCUCGGGUCUGCAGUCGAUACGAGCAAACUAGAGUGUUUGCAGGGGAGACUGGAAUUCCUGGUGUAGCGGUGAAAUGCGCAGAUAUCAGGGAGGAACACCCGGUGGGCGAA